ensembl:lncRNA
UUAAAUUUCUUCAGACUGACAGGAAAGAGAUUUUCACUGGCUCAGCCACAUCCCUGAUCUAUACAGGGCUGUCCCUCGGUGGAAGCAGCUCCCGCUUUGACAUAUCGUGACUGAUGGAUGGGCAGUGCUACGUCUCCAGGCUCAGGCUCACACAACUGUGUCUCAUUAUCACUGCAGUAUUUAACUCCAGCUCACCUCUCCAUUCAUCGCCAGAUCAUUGACCGACUCAGUGUGGAAGAUUUGCUCAGGCCAUUAAAUAUCUUGCUUACCUGUUGCUAACCCUUGAAUUUGUAUUUCUCUGCCACAUUCGCUACCCACCUACUUUAAGUAACCUAUCAGCAA